CCUUCGAUAGCUCAGUUGGUAGAGCGGUGGACUGUAGUGGUAUCAGAGACAUCCAUAGGUCGCUGGUUCAAAUCCGGCUCGAAGGA
rnacentral:tRNA from 1 species